rnacentral:rRNA from 2 species
UUAAGUUAGAAAGGGCGCACGGUGAAUGCCUUGGCACUAGGAGCCGAUGAAGGACGGGACUAACACCGAUAUGCUUCGGGGAGCUGUAAGUGAGCUUUGAUCCGGAGAUUUCCGAAUGGGGAAACCCACUGUUCGUAAUGGAACAGUAUCUUUAUCUGAAUACAUAGGAUAUUGAAGGCAGACCCGGGGAACUGAAACAUCUAAGUACCCGGAGGAAGAGAAAGCAAAUGCGAUUUCCUGAGUAGCGGCGAGCGAAACGGAAUUAGCCCAAACCAAGAGGCUUGCCUCUUGGGGUUGUAGGACACUCUAUACGGAGUUACAAAGGAACGAAGUAAAUGAAGCGACCUGGAAAGGUCCGUCAAAGAAGGUAACAACCCUGUAGUUGAAACUUCGUUCCCUCUUGAGUGGAUCCUGAGUACGGCGGAACACGUGAAAUUCCGUCGGAAGCUGGGAGGACCAUCUCCCAAGGCUAAAUACUACCUAGUGACCGAUAGUGAACCAGUACCGUGAGGGAAAGGUGAAAAGCACCCCGGAAGGGGAGUGAAAGAGAUCCUGAAACCGUGUGCCUACAAGUAGUCAGAGCCCGUUAACGGGUGAUGGCGUGCCUUUUGUAGAAUGAACCGGCGAGUUACGAUCCCAUGCAAGGUUAAGCUGAUAAGGCGGAGCCGUAGCGAAAGCGAGUCUGAAUAGGGCGUUUAGUAUGUGGUUGUAGACCCGAAACCAGGUGAUCUACCCAUGUCCAGGGUGAAGUUCAGGUAACACUGAAUGGAGGCCCGAACCCACGCACGUUGAAAAGUGCGGGGAUGAGGUGUGGGUAGCGGAGAAAUUCCAAUCGAACCUGGAGAUAGCUGGUUCUCUCCGAAAUAGCUUUAGGGCUAGCCUCAUGUUGUGAGAGUCUUGGAGGUAGAGCACUGAUUGAACUAGGGGCCCCCAACGGGUUACCGAAUUCAGUCAAACUCCGAAUGCCAAAGACUUAUCCAUGGGAGUCAGACUGCGAGUGAUAAGAUCCGUAGUCAAAAGGGAAACAGCCCAGACCACCAGCUAAGGUCCCCAAGUAUACGUUAAGUGGAAAAGGAUGUGGAGUUGCUUAGACAACCAGGAUGUUGGCUUAGAAGCAGCCACCAUUUAAAGAGUGCGUAAUAGCUCACUGGUCGAGUGACUCUGCGCCGAAAAUGUACCGGGGCUAAACGUAUCACCGAAGCUGUGGAUUGACAUCUUUGAUGUCAGUGGUAGGAGAGCGUUCUAAGUGCUGUGAAGUCAGACCGUAAGGACUGGUGGAGCGCUUAGAAGUGAGAAUGCCGGUAUGAGUAGCGAAAGACAAGUGAGAAUCUUGUCCACCGAAUGCCUAAGGUUUCCUGAGGAAGGCUCGUCCGCUCAGGGUUAGUCGGGACCUAAGCCGAGGCUGAAAAGCGUAGGCGAUGGCCAACAGGUUGAUAUUCCUGUACCACCUCCCCGCCGUUUGAGUAAUGGGGGGACGCAGUAGGAUAGGGUAAGCGCGCUGCUGGAUAUGCGCGUUCAAGCAGUUAGGCUGAUGAGUAGGCAAAUCCGCUCAUCAUAAAGGCUGAGCUGUGAUGACGAGGGAAUUAUAGUACCGAAGUUCCUGAUUCCACACUGCCAAGAAAAGCCUCUAGCGAGGCGGGAGGUGCCCGUACCGCAAACCGACACAGGUAGGCGAGGAGAGAAUCCUAAGGUGAUCGAGAGAACUCUCGUUAAGGAACUCGGCAAAAUGACCCCGUAACUUCGGGAGAAGGGGUGCUCUGGUAGGGUGUAUAGCCCGAGAGAGCCGCAGUGAAUAGGCCCAGGCGACUGUUUAGCAAAAACACAGGUCUCUGCGAAGCCGCAAGGCGAAGUAUAGGGGCUGACGCCUGCCCGGUGCUGGAAGGUUAAGAGGAGGGGUUAUCCUUUGGGAGAAGCUCUGAAUCGAAGCCCCAGUAAACGGCGGCCGUAACUAUAACGGUCCUAAGGUAGCGAAAUUCCUUGUCGGGUAAGUUCCGACCCGCACGAAAGGCGUAACGAUCUGGGCACUGUCUCAACGAGAGACUCGGUGAAAUUAUAGUACCUGUGAAGAUGCAGGUUACCCGCGACAGGACGGAAAGACCCCGUGGAGCUUUACUGUAGCCUGAUAUUGAAUUUUGGUACAGCUUGUACAGGAUAGGUAGGAGCCUGAGAAGCCGGAGCGCUAGCUUCGGUGGAGGCGUCGGUGGGAUACUACCCUGGCUGUAUUGAAAUUCUAACCCGCGGCCCUGAUCGGGCCGGGAGACAGUGUCAGGUGGGCAGUUUGACUGGGGCGGUCGCCUCCUAAAAUGUAACGGAGGCGCCCAAAGGUUCCCUCAGAAUGGUUGGAAAUCAUUCGUAGAGUGUAAAGGCACAAGGGAGCUUGACUGCGAGACCUACAAGUCGAGCAGGGACGAAAGUCGGGCUUAGUGAUCCGGUGGUUCCGCAUGGAAGGGCCAUCGCUCAACGGAUAAAAGCUACCCCGGGGAUAACAGGCUUAUCUCCCCCAAGAGUCCACAUCGACGGGGAGGUUUGGCACCUCGAUGUCGGCUCAUCGCAUCCUGGGGCUGUAGUCGGUCCCAAGGGUUGGGCUGUUCGCCCAUUAAAGCGGUACGCGAGCUGGGUUCAGAACGUCGUGAGACAGUUCGGUCCCUAUCCGUCGUGGGCGUAGGAAAUUUGAGAGGAGCUGUCCUUAGUACGAGAGGACCGGGAUGGACACACCGCUGGUGUACCAGUUGUCUUGCCAAAGGCAUCGCUGGGUAGCUAUGUGUGGACGGGAUAAGUGCUGAAAGCAUCUAAGCAUGAAGCCCCCCUCAAGAUGAGAUUUCCCAUAGCGCAAGCUAGUAAGAUCCCUGAAAGAUGAUCAGGUUGAUAGGUCAGAGGUGGAAGCGUGGCGACAUGUGUAGCUGACUGAUACUAAUCGAUCGAGGACUUAACCAA